rnacentral:misc_RNA from 1 species
GUUUAGAAGUCUUAAAGCGUCCUGAUCUGAAGCCUUCACAUCUUGUGAGGCUACCAUGGAAACAGUUGCUUCCAAUUGAUCAGCUAACAAUUGUUUGGGACAUGCAUCAGUUCCCACCCUUUUUUCCAAAACAUGACCUUGAAAUAAUCCUUCUUCUGGGCAUCUGGACGGUUCUCGUAUACUAUUUAAAGAGCCACAAUGUCCAAUAUUGGCAAUGUUCCCAUCAUUCAUUGAUAAGUUGACUGACUGCAGC